AGCUGCACCCAGGAGAUCUUGGAGGAGAUGGUCUGUGGCUUCAACUAUUCCAACUCCCUAGACAAUGAUCAGGUGCACCAGACAAACAGGGAUCAGUGCUGUUCUGAGUGCUGCAAGGAACACCUUAUGUAUCCCUACAGACUGUUUUGGUUGCUAGAUCUGCCAUAACCUGGAACCCCAGAUUAGGGGGAAGGCCUCUGAUGCCUCCUGGCACCAGUAGCUGGCUCUUUUUGUAAUGAUCCACCCAGGAAAUCUUGGAUGAGUUACUUCAAGAGUUCAACUCCUCCAUCUCCCCUGACAAGCACAGGGGCAUCAGGCCACCAACAUCCAUUGAAGGUCUGCGGUGAGAACAGGUCCACUUUCAUGGUCAAACUCAAGACCCAGAGAUGAUCAGAGCAAGCCCAGAACCCAGGCUAGAAACAACUGACACCCUUGGAACCUGCAGGAGAAGGAAUCAACCCUAUCCCUGGGUGAGGCCAGGACCAUGCUGAUGCUCAGAGAAGGGAGAAUGGAUGAUUUUCUACAGUCCUUGGGACCAUCCUUCCAGGACAGAAGCCUUGCAAACAACCCAGUCAUUUCCUGUCUCUACCAGGUGUUCACCACAGCCCAACAGGUCCUGGGCCAGCAAUUCCCCAGCUUCAUUUUGGGAGCUUCCUGUGAAGAGGCAAACGAGUCAAAGAGAGCUGUAGAUGGGGUCCCAAGCCCUCUGGGAAGCGGAGCACAGUCUGGGCCAAUUCGGUGCCUCAAACAUCCAUCCCUUCAACUGUCCCAUCUUGCUCUUCCUACACUUCCCUCUACCACCUCUUCUGACCUCCACAACUGGGGCCAAGAACAGAAGCUUUGCACCCUCUCUCCCAUCUUGGGUACCUGGCCUGACCAGAAGCUGCAGGACACCUGGAAAUCCCUGCACUGUGCCUGUUUUGAAGUAAAGGGGGCCUGGGUGCAGGCAAAUUUGUAUGACCUGAAUUGCCAUGCUCCCAUUAUGGUAAUGCCCCGGGAACUUCUGCAGCUCACUGAGGCAGACACAGAGUCAGAGGUGCCAGCUCCACGGCUCCUUCCAGCAUCUCCUCCAUCAGCUGUUCCAGACCUGGAACAAGAGCCUGUGCCUUCUUCAUGCGUACCAGGUCAUGAGCCGCAGUCAGUUCCACCACCAGCUUUCCUGGGGAUUGUCACUCCUUCCCUAAGCAUAAAGACAGAGUGACCUCCAGCCCCAGAGGCGACCUACCACUGGUGCGUAACCCCCGAGCACCAGCUGCAUGAGGAGAAGCCCGGGCUCAUGGACUUCCCUCCCAAACUGGUGGCAGAGCAGUUGACAUCCAUAGACGUGGUGAGCAGCUGGGCACCCAGGACGGGGCUGGGACAGGCUUGCUUUCUGUUGUCAUCUGCCCCAGACCUGCCUUUCCCUGAUGUGGGCUUGUAUGGUCGGGGUCCAAAUCUCAGCUCCAUCACUUACCAACCACAUCAACCUGUCCAGUUCCUGAAACACUUGCUUUCACUGUCCAGCUGCAGACUAUGGAGAUAGACCCUGAGAAGGACUGAUGCAGAGUUCCUGUGUCGAUUAAAUGAGCCAGAACUGAUAGGCAAAUGGACAGGCCCUGGUCCUUGGGUGGGGGAGGGCAACUCACUGUGUGCGGCCAAGCCCAUGGCUCACCCACGCAUCAGCCUUGGAGGCCGAGCACCCUACACUUAUUAGGCAUCUAAUGUGUGCUGAAGUACAGGGAGGCAGACAAAACUGUGGUUGCACCUCCCUCUGUGAGAAUGUGCUGCUGAAAGGGGAGUAGGGCAAGAGGCAUGAACAGUGGGAGGGGAAGAUGCCCCUUUGAGGAGCCCCCUUGAACUGCCACCUGUAACUUGAAGUUAGUGGGGUGAUCAGGGUACAAAUGGCCUCUCCUCCCCCCUGCCCCGCCCCGGCAGGAUCUGCUCCUCGUUCAUCCUGUACUGGACUCCCUCAGUGAAGAGGAAUGAAGUGCAGUCCAGAGACUCUAACUGGGUUCAGGCCAAUUUCUGCGCUUGCUGAACCCCAGCUCUGACAUGGGACCCCUACGUAGGACAUGAAUCUUGCAUGUGAAAUGGCUGUGUGAAAAGACCCUGAACAGCCAGGGGAAUUUUAAAAAAGAAAACCAUAUCUGGGGGCAUCACAAUGCCAGAUUUCAGAUUGUACUAGAAAGCUGUGGUCAUCAAGACUGUGUGGUACUGGCACA
rnacentral:lncRNA from 12 species